AUACCGCAUAACGUCGCAAGACCAAAGUGGGGGACCUUCGGGCCUCAUGCCAUCAGAUGUGCCCAGAUGGGAUUAGCUAGUAGGUGGGGUAACGGCUCACCUAGGCGACGAUCCCUAGCUGGUCUGAGAGGAUGACCAGCCACACUGGAACUGAGACACGGUCCAGACUCCUACGGGAGGCAGCAGUGGGGAAUAUUGCACAAUGGGCGCAAGCCUGAUGCAGCCAUGCCGCGUGUGUGAAGAAGGCCUUCGGGUUGUAAAGCACUUUCAGCGGGGAGGAAGGCG
rnacentral:rRNA from 1 species